rnacentral:rRNA from 1 species
CCUACGGGAGGCUGCAGUGGGGAAUAUUGGACAAUGGGGGCAACCCUGAUCCAGCCAUGCCGCGUGUGUGAAGAAGGCCCUCGGGUUGUAAAGCACUUUCAGUGAGGAAGAACGCCUGGUGGUUAAUACCCAUCAGGAAAGACAUCACUCACAGAAGAAGCACCGGCUAACUCCGUGCCAGCAGCCGCGGUAAUACGGAGGGUGCGAGCGUUAAUCGGAAUUACUGGGCGUAAAGCGCGCGUAGGUGGCUUGAUAAGCCGGUUGUGAAAGCCCCGGGCUCAACCUGGGAACGGCAUCCGGAACUGUCAAGCUAGAGUGAAGGAGAGGAAGGUAGAAUUCCCGGUGUAGCGGUGAAAUGCGUAGAGAUCGGGAGGAAUACCAGUGGCGAAGGCGGCCUUCUGGACUGACACUGACACUGAGGUGCGAAAGCGUGGGUAGCAAACAGGAUUAGAUACCCGUGUAGUC